CCUACGGGGGGCAGCAGUGAGGAAUAUUGGUCAAUGGACGCAAGUCUGAACCAGCCAUGCCGCGUGCAGGAAGACGGCUCUAUGAGUUGUAAACUGCUUUUGUACGAGAGUAAACGCAGAUACGCGUAUCUGUCUGAAAGUAUCUUACGAAUAAGGAUCGGCUAACUCCGUGCCAGCAGCCGCGGUAAUACGGAGGAUUCAAGCGUUAUCCGGAUUUAUUGGGUUUAAAGGGUGCGUAGGCGGUCGGAUAAGUUAGAGGUGAAAGCCUGAGGCUCAACUUCGGAAUUGCCUCUGAUACUGUUCGGCUAGAGAGUAGUUGCGGUAGGCGGAAUGUAUGGUGUAGCGGUGAAAUGCUUAGAGAUCAUACAGAACACCGAUUGCGAAGGCAGCUUACCAAGCUACUUCUGACGUUGAGGCACGAAAGCGUGGGGAGCAAACAGGAUUAGAUACCCCUGUAGUC
rnacentral:rRNA from 1 species